rnacentral:rRNA from 1 species
GACGAACGCUGGCGGCGUGCUUAACACAUGCAAGUCGAACGGUACGACCCUGCUGUUGUGGUGUGCUCGAGUGGCGAACGGGUGAGUAACACGUGAGUAACCUGCCCUUGACUUUGGGCUAACUUCAGGAAACUGGGGCUAAUACCGGAUCGGAGCUCCUGCUGCAUUUUGUGGGUUGGAGAGUUUCGGCGGUUGGGGCUGGACUCGCGGGUUAUCAGCUUGUUGGUGGGGUAGUGGCAUACCAAGGCUUUGACGGGUAGCCGGCCUGAGAGGGUGACCGGCGACAUUGGGACUGCGAGAGGGAGCAGACGGGAACGGGAGGCAGCAGUGGGAAAUAUGGCACAAUGGGGGGACGUGUGAGGAAGCAACGCUGGGUGCGGGAUGACGGCUUUCGGGUGGUAAACCGCGUCCGCAGGUGACGAAGGGUGAGUGACGGUAAUGGGUAAGAAAGCAACGGCUAACUACGUG